AUUUAUAUAGUAUAAAAAUUACAUCUGACUUCCAAUCAGAAGAUCUAUAACUAGUAUAAAUA
rnacentral:tRNA from 1 species